UACGGGGGGGGCAAGCGUUGUUCGGAAUUACUGGGCGUAAAGGGCUCGUAGGUGGCCAACUAAGUCAGACGUGAAAUCCCUCGGCGUUAACCGGGGAACUGCGUCUGAUACUGGAUGGCUUGAGUUUGGGAGAGGGAUGCGGAAUUCCAGGUGUAGCGGUGAAAUGACGUAGAUAUCUGGAGGAACACCGGUGGCGAAGGCGGCAUCCUGG
rnacentral:rRNA from 1 species